GCGGGAAUAGCUCAGUUGAUAGAGCACAACCUUGCCAAGGUUGAGGUCGCCUCUCCAUUAAAGAAGUGGCGAGUCUCGUUUCCCGCU
rnacentral:tRNA from 1 species